rnacentral:sRNA from 1 species
CUCCCUCCCUCCCUCCCUCUCUCUCUCUCUCUCAAUUUUCAUGUUAACCCUUUAUGUGUUUAGAUAUCUAAAUAUCGAUAUUAUCUAAUUUUCUUUUAUUAAAUACAUUGAUAAAAAAGUUAUGUUAAUGCAUAAAACAUUGUCGUAUGUAACUAAACCCUAUGUGCAAUAAGAAUGAUAAUGUAUAUUGUCAUAAUAGACAUAUUUUUAUAGGUAUAUAUAGGUAUAGAUAUGGCUCUGUAGUAAUACUGUUUGUUUAGAUAUCAUUGAUGGAAGAAAUGUCAAAAUAGAUCUAAAGCUCAAAAUGGAAAUAAGCUAAUAUGUUAAAAAGUAUGUAAUCCGUGUGAAUUACUGUAUGUAUUACAUUCAGCAGUAUUGAUACAUGUUACAGAGACUUCAUUCCUUUAUUAUUUAAUAUGUAAUAUUAAAUAAACAUACUAAUACUAAUGUUAAAAUAUACAUACAAAAAUAAACCGUCGGUGCAUGUACAUUGUAUCUACAAUUUGUAAUGAAAUAUUUUUUGGAUAUUUUUUAACUUAUUAAUCUGCCUGUACAUAUCAGAUUAGUGAAGAAAGCUUUGUACACACUUGGAGAUAAAGAAGUAUUUGGAGUUUCAUUUCAUAAAUCUUUUUAUGCAUGUUAUAUUGGUUACAUAAUUACCUCCCUUUUGCAUGAAAUGGCAUUUAUGAACAAAAACCCCACUUUUGAUCUGAAAUGGACCAUUUGCUGUGAUUAAUUAAAUGUUGGUAAGAGUCCUCUUUUAUGUACAUUUGUCACAAUAUUAAGAAUUUGGUCCUCAGAUAAUUAACAUUGUAGUGGUGUCUAUUUUGUAAAACAAUAGUGUAUUUUUGCGCUAGCUUAUAGUUGGUUUAGAUUAUGAUAUUCUUUACCCUAUUUUGUUUUAUAGUUUUCUGUUUAUGGCUUAUUCAUCAUAAUGUUUAACCUCAUUGGUUGCCCACUUAAUUACAGUUAUUCCCAUUAUUAUAUUUGAUUCAUGUUUUGUUAAGAAUUCUGUUAAAUUGUUGUUUACAUUACACAUGCACUCAGAUAAUGUUUUCAAAAAGGAUGUAUAGUGGUAUAUUUUUGUACCAACAGGUUUUUACAUAAAUUAUAUACCUGUAUAUAAGGUGUACCAAUUUAUUCCUGUGUUGUAUGCAAUUAAAAUCAGCUAAACCAU